AUUAAAAAAUAUAAAAUUUUGUACGGAUGAACAGUGAACUACUUAAUCGAGAAGAGUGAGGCAGAGCUCAGGAAGAAAUGGCAUCAGGGUGGGGAAUCACAGGAAACAAAGGCAGAUGCUACGAUUUCUGGAUUGAUUUCAGCGAGUGUAUGUCUCAAUGCAGAGAGCCUAAGGACUGCGCUUUCCUCCGUGAAGAUUACCUCGAGUGCCUCCACCACUCUAAAGAGGUGCACAUCGUGAACAUUUCGACAGUUAUGAGUAGCUAUAUGCCUCCAUCAACCAACAAUCCACAAAUUAUUGAAGACAUGAAACUUUGUAUGUGUUUGGUAGUGUAAGCCAUCACAACUACAGUAAGAGGAGUUUCAGCUGACAAGCAAAUCCCAACAAGCAUAUUCCGUACAUUUAUCUCUCAGAACAGAGUUUUAUCGGGCACAUCAUUGGUGGUCAUACUUCGUUUCAAAGAAGAAAUUGAAUUUACAAGGAGGAGCAGCGCAAAUUAAGAACAGCUUCAAAGAAAGCAGAUGUUUCAAAGAAGAAAUUGAAUUUACAAGGAGGAGCAGCGCAAAUUAAGAACAGCUUCAAAGAAAGCAGAUGGUGAAGAUGCAAAGA